GCUGGGUGUGGUGGCUCACACCUGUAAUCCCAGCAUUUUGGGAGGCUGAGGUGGGAGGGUCACCUGAGGUCAGGAGUUCGAGACCAGCCUGGCCAACAUGGUGAAACCCCUCCUCUA
ensembl:misc_RNA Metazoa_SRP Metazoan signal recognition particle RNA